rnacentral:rRNA from 1 species
GACGAACGCUGGCGGCGUGCUUAACACAUGCAAGUCGAACGGAAAGGCCCUGCUUUUGUGGGGUGCUCGAGUGGCGAACGGGUGAGUAACACGUGAGUAACCUGCCCUUGACUUUGGGAUAACUUCAGGAAACUGGGGCUAAUACCGGAUAGGAGCUCCUGCUGCAUGGUGGGGGUUGGAAAGUUUCGGCGGUUGGGGAUGGACUCGCGGCUUAUCAGCUUGUUGGUGGGGUAGUGGCUUACCAAGGCUUUGACGGGUAGCCGGCCUGAGAGGGUGACCGGCCACAUUGGGACUGAGAUACGGCCCAGACUCCUACGGGAGGCAGCAGUGGGGAAUAUUGCACAUUGGGCGGAAGCCUGAUGCAGCAACGCCGCGUGCGGGAUGACGGCCUUCGGGUUGUAAACCGCUUUCGCCUGUGACGAAGCGUGAGUGACGGUAAUGGGUAAAGAAGCACCGGCUAACUACGUG